CAUUUUCGUCUUUAUUCCUUUGGGUUUAAGCCGCCACCUUUGGAACUGGUUUAAAAUGAAAAUCCUUCUGGAAGGGCCCAUGCGUCCCUCUGGUCUGAGCAGUCACUGACAUCUGACGUAACCCAGGGAUGCACUCAUGAAGGGGCCCUGGGGAGCCAUCCAGGCCACCCUCUCCGUCGUGAGGCACAGCAAGACGUGCCUGGACUUCAACCUGUUAAGUCCAAGAUGAUCGCUGUAUAUAAACAACAGGCUUGAACAUCCUA